AUGGCCAAGCGCUUCAACUUAGCGGCGCCACUGCUGCUCACCUUAACCUUCUUGUUCUGCAGCUGCUCCAUGAUCUCUUCUUCUUCCCAAGCAGCGUCGCCCACUGGCUUCCUCCAAUGCCUCACAAAGGCUAACAUCUCAGUGUUUGAGCAGGGCGAAGAUUUGUUCAACACGCAGCUUGACAAAUACAUUAGGAACCCAAAGUUCCUUGCAAAUACCACCGGGAGGCCGCUCUAUGUCGUGAUGCCGGCGAAUGCUCACCACGUCCAGAUCGCCGUGCGCUGCGGUAGCCUAAACGGGGUGCCCCUCCGCGUGCACAGCGGCGGGCACGACUAUGAGGGCCUGUCGUACCGGUCCGUGGACACCGGGGGCUUCGCGAUGCUCGACAUGUCGGAGCUACGCACCGUGGUGGUCGACAACCAGACGUCGACGGCGUGGGUGGAGUCCGGCGCGACGCUCGACGAGCUCUACUAUGCCAUAUCGAAGGUGAGCAACCUUCUUGGGUUCCCGGCCGGCGUGUGCCUGACCGUCGGCGUCGGAGGCCAUUUUAGCGGCGGUGGCUUUGGCACGCUGAUGGGCAAGCACGGGCUAGCCGUCGAUAACGUCAUCGAUGCCGAGUUGGUGGACGCCAAUGGCACGCUCCUGAACAAGACCACCAUGGGGGACGAUGUGAGGCUCGUGAUCGUCCCCGCGACGGUGUCGGUGUUCAAGGUCUCGGUGUCCAACAGCCAGGGCGCUGCCGUGCACGCGGUCACCAAGUGGCAGAAGGUGGCGCCAGCCCUGCCGGAGGAGCUGUACAUCAGGGCGCUUGUCCAGAAUGACAUGUCCGUCUUCCGAGCAGUGUUCCUCGGCACGUGUGACGCGCUCCUGCCGGUGAUGAGCAGGAGCGGUGGCAUCCCGGAGCUGAAUUUGAGCCGCUCCGACUGCAAGGAGAUGACCUGGGUCGAGUCCAUGGCCUACAUCAACAACGCGACCGUGGAGGACCUCACGAAGCGGACCACCUCUGAGUUCGACUCCAACCAUGGCUUCAAGGCGACGACGGACUACGUCCAGCGCGCCAUUCGCCGGGAGGUGUGGGCCAAGAUCUUCUACAAGCAGCUCAGGCAGCCCAACGCGCAGGUCAUCUUGGUCCCAUACGGCGGAAAGAUGAGCAACAUGCCAGAGGACGCGACGCCGUACCCGCACCGCGCCGGCGUGCUAUACAGCAUGCAGUUGUACAACUACUGGCCGGUGGAUUCGGCAUAUAACGGAGCCAUGGAGACCAAGUGGGUCAGGGACAUGUAUGCCUUCAUGGCGCCGUACGUGAGCUCCAAAUCCAGGCCAAGGGGAGCCUACUUCAACUGCAGGGACCUGGAUCUUGGCCCCAAUUGGGGGCCAAAAUACUUCAAGGGUAACUACCAGAGGCUCACCAAGGCCAAGGCUGAGAUCGACCCCCACAAUUACUUCCGCAAUGAGCAAAGCAUUCCCCUGCCAAAACGAGCAUCUUAA
rnacentral:rRNA from 1 species